rnacentral:rRNA from 1 species
GAUGAACGCUAGCGAUAGGCUUAACACAUGCAAGUCGAGGGGCAGCAUGGUCUUAGCUUGCUAAGACUGAUGGCGACCGGCGCACGGGUGCGUAACGCGUAUGCAACUUGCCUCACAGAGGGGGAUAACCCGUCGAAAGACGGACUAAUACCGCGUACACUCCAUCUUGGGCAUCCAAGGUAGAGGAAAUGAAAUUCGCUGUGAGAUAGGCAUGCGUCCCAUUAGCUAGUUGGUGAGGUAACGGCUCACCAAGGCGACGAUGGGUAGGGGAACUGAGAGGUUGAACCCCCACACUGGUACUGAGACACGGACCAGACUCAUACGGGAGGCAGCAGUGAGGAAUAUUGGUCAAUGGGCGAGAGCCUGAACCAGCCAAGUCGCGUGAAGGAUGACUGUCUUAUGGAUUGUAAACUUCUUUUAUACGGGAAUAACAAGAGUCACGUGUGACUCCCUGCAUGUACCGUAUGAAUAAGCAUCGGCUAACUCCGUG